GAAGGCGUCCAACCAGAACGGUUCCGACGGUGAGGGACGAAGGCUAGGGGCGCAACCGGAUUAGAUACCCGGGUAGUUCCUAGCUGUAAACGCUGCAGACUUGGUGUUGGAGAUCCCACGAGGGUGUCCAGUGCCGGAGAGAAGUUGUUAAGUUUGCCGCCUGGGAAGUAUGGCCGCAAGGCUGAAACUUAAAGGAAUUGGCGGGGGAGCACCGCAACGGGAGGAGCGUGCGGUUUAAUUGGAUUCAACGCCGGAAAACUCACCGGGGGCGACUGUUACAUGAAGGCCAGUUUGAAGACUUUGCCUAAUUUUCAGAGAGGUGGUGCAUGGCCGUCGUCAGUUCGUACCGCAAGGCGUUCUGUUAAGUCAGAUAACGAACGAGACCCCUGUCCUUAUUUGCUAAGUUAUCCUUCGGGGUGACAGCACUAUAGGGAGACCGCCACUGCUAAAGUGGAGGAAGGAGGGGGCAACGGUAGGUCAGUAUGCCCCGAAUCCCCCGGGCCACACGCGCGCUACAAAGGAUAGGACAAUGGGCUCCGACACCGAAAGGUGAAGGCAAUCCCGAAACCUAUUCAUAGUUCGGAUUGAGGGCUGUAACCCGCCCUCAUGAAGCUGGAUUCCGUAGUAAUNNNNNGGUCAAC
rnacentral:rRNA from 1 species